UGUGCUAGGUGGGGAGUUAGCGGUGCCCUGUAUCUGCAAUCCGCUAUAGCAGAACCGAAUACCUCCCCCGGACUGACGUGUGGAAGGUCUGCACGUCGUAAGGAAUGUUGAUAGCAAGGUCUUAUGCAACGGACUGCCGUGAACCGUGUCAGGAUAGGGAUAUAGCAGCACUAAGCGGAUUUGUUCGUGUGCCAUAAGGUAGCUUUGAAGGAGUCACCUGCGGCGUUUCCGC
rnacentral:SRP_RNA from 1 species